AACGAACGCUGGCGGCAUGCCUAACACAUGCAAGUCGAACGAGACCUUCGGGUCUAGCGGCGGACGGGUGAGUAACACGUGGGCAACCUGCCUGUAAGACUGGGAUAACACCGGGAAACCGGUGCUAAUACCGGAUAAUCCUUUUCCUCUCAUGAGGAAAAGCUGAAAGUCGGUUUCGGCUGACACUUACAGAUGGGCCCGCGGCGCAUUAGCUAGUUGGUGAGGUAACGGCUCACCAAGGCGACGAUGCGUAGCCGACCUGAGAGGGUGAUCGGCCACACUGGGACUGAGACACGGCCCAGACUCCUACGGGAGGCAGCAGUAGGGAAUCUUCCACAAUGGACGAAAGUCUGAUGGAGCAACGCCGCGUGAGCGAUGAAGGCCUUCGGGUCGUAAAGCUCUGUUGUUAGGGAAGAACAAGUACCGGAGUAACUGCCGGUACCUUGACGGUACCUAACCAGAAAGCCACGGCUAACUACGUGCCAGCCGCCGCCGUAACAC
rnacentral:rRNA from 1 species